AUUGAACGCUGGCGGCAGGCUUAACACAUGCAAGUCGAGCGGGGUGAUGGUGCUUGCACUAUCACUUAGCGGCGGACGGGUGAGUAAUGCUUAGGAAUCUGCCUAUUAGUGGGGGACAACAUAUCGAAAGGGAUGCUAAUACCGCAUACGUCCUACGGGAGAAAGCAGGGGAUCACUUGUGACCUUGCGCUAAUAGAUGAGCCUAAGCCGGAUUAGCUAGUUGGUGGGGUAAAGGCCUACCAAGGCGACGACCUGUAGCGGGUCUGAGAGGAUGAUCCGCCACACUGGGACUGAGACGCGGCCCAGACUCCUACGGGAGGCAGCAGUGGGGAAUAUUGGACAAUGGGGGGAACCCUGAUCCAGCCAUGCCGCGUGUGUGAAGAAGGCCUUAUGGUUGUAAAGCACUUUAAGCGAGGAGGAGGCUCUUUUGGUUAAUACCCAAGAUGAGUGGACGUUACUCGCAGAAUAAGCACCGGCUAACUCUGUGCCAGCCGCCGCCGUAA
rnacentral:rRNA from 1 species